rnacentral:rRNA from 1 species
GAUGAACGCUAGCGACAGGCUUAACACAUGCAAGUCGAGGGGCAGCGAGGGCGUAGCAAUACGCCUGUCGGCGACCGGCGCACUGGUGAGUAACACGUAUGCGACCUGCCCCCUACAGGGGUAUAACCCGUAGAAAUGCGGACUAAUCCCCCAUAGUCCUGCGGGCUGCAUGGCCUGCGGGGGAAAGGGUUUCCGGUAGGGGAUGGGCAUGCGGCGCAUUAGCUGGUUGGCGGGGCAACGGCCCACCAAGGCGACGAUGCGUAGGGGUUCUGAGAGGAAGGUCCCCCCACAUUGGAACUGAGACACGGUCCAAACUCCUACGGGAGGCAGCAGUGAGGAAUAUUGGUCAAUGGGCGAGAGUCUGAACCAGCCAAGUAGCGUGCAGGAUGACGGCCCUCCGGGUUGUAAACUGCUUUUAGGCGGGGUAAAGGAGCGGACGUGUUCCGCUUUUGCAAGUACCGCCAGAAAAAGGACCGGCUAAUUCCGUG